UGUUUGAUGUUCUAACGUGGACCCGUGAUCCGGGUUGCGGACAGUGUCUGGUGGGUAGUUUGACUGGGGCGGUCUCCUCCUAAAGAGUAACGGAGGAGCACGAAGGUUGGCUAAUCCUGGUCGGACAUCAGGAGGUUAGUGCAAUGGCAUAAGCCAGCUUGACUGCGAGCGUGACGGCGCGAGCAGGUGCGAAAGCAGGUCAUAGUGAUCCGGUGGUUCUGAAUGGAAGGGCCAUCGCUCAACGGAUAAAAGGUACUCCGGGGAUAACAGGCUGAUACCGCCCAAGAGUUCAUAUCGACGGCGGUGUUUGGCACCUCGAUGUCGGCUCAUCACAUCCUGGGGCUGAAGUAGGUCCCAAGGGUAUGGCUGUUCGCCAUUUAAAGUGGUACGCGAGCUGGGUUUAGAACGUCGUGAGACAGUUCGGUCCCUAUCUGCCGUGGGCGCUGGAGAACUGAGGGGGGCUGCUCCUAGUACGAGAGGACCGGAGUGGACGCAUCACUGGUGUUCGGGUUGUCAUGCCAAUGGCACUGCCCGGUAGCUAAAUGCGGAAGAGAUAAGUGCUGAAAGCAUCUAAGCACGAAACUUGCCCCGAGAUGAGUUCUCCCUGACCCUUUAAGGGUCCUGAAGGAACGUUGAAGACGACGACGUUGAUAGGCCGGGUGUGUAAGCGCAGCGAUGCGUUGAGCUAACCGGUACUAAUGAACCGUGAG
rnacentral:rRNA from 3 species